GCCGGGCACGGUGGCGCAUGCCUGUAGUCCCAGCCACUCGGGAGGCUGAGGUGGGAGGAUCACUUGAGCCCAGGAGUUCUGGGCUGUAGUGCGCUAUGCCCAUCGGGUGUCCGCACUAAGUUCGGCAUCAAUCUGGUGACCUCCCGGGAAUGAGGGACCACUAAGUUGCCUAAGGAGGGGUGAACUGGCCCAGGUUGGAAACGGAGCAGGUCAGAACUCCUGUGCUGAUCAGUAGUGGGAUCGCGUCUGUGAAUAGCCACUGCACUCCAGCCUGGGCAACAUAGAGAGACCCCGUCUCU
rnacentral:SRP_RNA from 1 species